GAUGAAGAACGCAGCGAAAUGCGAUAAGUAAUGCGAAUUGCAGAUUUCAGUGAAUCAUCGAAUCUUUGAACGCACAUUGCGCCCGCUGGUAUUCCGGCGGGCAUGCCUGUUCGAGCGUCAUUUCAACCCUCAAACCCCCGGGUUUGGUGUUGGGGAUCGGCUCUGCCUCACGGCGGUGCCGCCCCCGAAAUACAUUGGCGGUCUCGCUGCAGCCUCCAUUGCGUAGUAGCUAACACCUCGCAACUGGAACGCGGCGCGGCCAUGCCGUAAAACCCCAACUUCUGAAUGUUGACCUCGGAUCAGGUAGGAAUACCCGCUGAACUUAAGCAUAUCAAUAAGCGGAGGA
rnacentral:misc_RNA from 1 species